rnacentral:antisense_RNA from 1 species
CUUCAGCGAGCCGAGCCACAGCGGCCGCGCGGGGUCGUCGGGCCGGUCCUUGCCGUACGUGGCGAUGAGGGCCUGGGCCUC